rnacentral:rRNA from 1 species
GACGAACGCUGGCGGCGUGCUUGACACAUGCAAGUCGAACGGAAAGGCCCUGCUUUUGUGGGGUGCUCGAGUGGCGAACGGGUGAGUAACACGUAAGUAACCUGCCCUUGACUUUGGGAUAACUUCAGGAAACUGGGGCUAAUACCGGAUAGGAGCUCCUGCUGCAUGGUGGGGGUUGGAAAGUUUCGGCGGUUGGGGAUGGACUCGCGGCUUAUCAGCUUGUUGGUGGGGUAGUGGCUUACCAAGGCUUUGACGGGUAGCCGGCCUGAGAGGGUGACCGGCCACAUUGGGACUGAGAUACGGCCCAGACUCCUACGGGAGGCAGCAGUGGGGAAUAUUGCACAAUGGGCGGAAGCCUGAUGCAGCAACGCCGCGUGCGGGAUGACGGCCUUCGGGUUGUAAACCGCUUUCGCCUGUGACGAAGCGUGAGUGACGGUAAUGGGUAAAGAAGCACCGGCUAACUACGUGCCAGCAGCCGCGGUGAUACGUAGGGUGCGAGCGUUGUCCGGAUUUAUUGGGCGUAAAGGGCUCGUAGGUGGUUGAUCGCGUCGGAAGUGUAAUCUUGGGGCUUAACCCUGAGCGUGCUUUCGAUACGGGUUGACUUGAGGAAGGUAGGGGAGAAUGGAAUUCCUGGUGGAGCGGUGGAAUGCGCAGAUAUCAGGAGGAACACCAGUGGCGAAGGCGGUUCUCUGGGCCUUUCCUGACGCUGAGGAGCGAAAGCGUGGGGAGCGAACAGGCUUAGAUACCCUGGUAGUCCACGCUGUAAACGGUGGGUACUAGGUGUGGGGUCCAUUCCACGGGUUCCGUGCCGUAGCUAACGCUUUAAGUACCCCGCCUGGGGAGUACGGCCGCAAGGCUAAAACUCAAGGGAAUUGACGGGGCCCCGCACAAGCGGCGGAGCAUGCGGAUUAAUUCGAUGCAACGCGUAGAACCUUACCUGGGUUUGACAUGGAUCGGGAGUGCUCAGAGAUGGGUGUGCCUCUUUUGGGGUCGGUUCACAGGUGGUGCAUGGCUGUCGUCAGCUCGUGUCGUGAGAUGUUGGGUUAAGUCCCGCAACGAGCGCAACCCUUGUUCACUGUUGCCAGCACGUUAUGGUGGGGACUCAGUGGAGACCGCCGGGGUCAACUCGGAGGAAGGUGGGGAUGACGUCAAGUCAUCAUGCCCCUUAUGUCCAGGGCUUCACGCAUGCUACAAUGGCUGGUACAGAGAGUGGCGAGCCUGUGAGGGUGAGCGAAUCUCGGAAAGCCGGUCUCAGUUCGGAUUGGGGUCUGCAACUCGACCUCAUGAAGUCGGAGUCGCUAGUAAUCGCAGAUCAGCAACGCUGCGGUGAAUACGUUCCCGGGGCU